rnacentral:rRNA from 1 species
AUUGAACGCUGGCGGCAGGCCUAACACAUGCAAGUCGAACGGUAACAGGAAACAGCUUGCUGUUUCGCUGACGAGUGGCGGACGGGUGAGUCAUGUCUGGGAAACUGCCUGAUGGAGGGGGAUAACUACUGGAAACGGUAGCUAAUACCGCAUAACUUCGCAAGACCAAAGAGGGGGACCCUCGGGCCUCUUUCCAUCGGAUGUGCCCCGAUGGGGUUAGCUUGUUGGUGGGGUAACGGCUCACCAAGGCGACGAUCCCUAGCUGGUCUGAGAGGAUGACCAGCCACACUGGAACUGAGACACGGUCCAGACUCCUACGGGAGGCAGCAGUGGGGAAUAUUGCACAAUGGGCGAAAGCCUGAUGCAGCCAUGCCGCGUGUAUGAAGAAGGCCUUCGGGUUGUAAAGUACUUUAAGCGGGGAGGAAGGGAGUAAAGUUAAUACCUUUGCUCAUUGACGUUACCCGCAGAAGAAGCACCGGCUAACUCCGUG